rnacentral:rRNA from 1 species
CAGGCAGUCAAAGAAUAUUAGUCAAUGCUCGAAAGAGUGACUAGCUACUGAAUCAAUUAUAAAAAUUGAUAACAUAAGGGAAAAUAAUGAUAUUACCUUAUUAUUAGUGUCGUCCAAAUCUGGUGCCAGAAGACUCGGUAAGGCCAGAGACACAAACGUUAAUCGUCUUAAUCAGGCGUAAAGGGUUUGUAGGCGGCUUUAAAAUUUAAUUAAUUUAUAAUAAAAAAUAAUUAAAGAAUAAAAGCUAGAAUCAAAUAGAGGAUAUAUGAAAUAAUGCUUAGAGUAGGUCCGAUAUCUUUAGAUACUAAGUAGAAUAUUAAAGGCGAAAGCUUUUUUCCAUUAAUGAUUGACGCUCAGAAACGAAGGUGAGGAUAGGAAAUAGGAUUAGAUACCCAGAAUACCCCUCUCUGUCAACGAUGAAUGGUAGUUAUUAGUACAAAUUUAUUAAUGGCAAUGUUAACACGAUAACCAUUCCGCCUUGUGAGUACAACUGCAAAGUUGAAAACAAAAAAAUUAGUCGGUUUCGGAGCAAACGAAGUGAAGCAUGUUAUUUAAUUCGAUAAAUCCGCA